rnacentral:piRNA from 1 species
GAAGGGAACUGAGCCUGGUGGCCACU